GUCGAGACCACUUACAAACUCUAUAAGCGCUUCAGUUGUGUUCACCUUUGUCGUUCAUAAUUUCCGUUCUCUGUAACCGUCUCCGACGCCGUCUUUCAUAAAUGAAAUAGAAAAUCCCAUUGCUAUAUUAUGAUUUUGUUGCCAAGCCUUGAUAAUAGACUUUGCAAUUGAUGUUUAAAAUUUCAAAUUGGAAUCAAUUGGCACACCUCCACUAAAAUAACCUAAGCCAUUUUGAUUUGUUAGUUCCACACUUAUAAGACUCUGCCCCCAACAUUCCAACAAUUGCAAAACUAUACCAGUUGCCUACAGUGUACAUUGGGAAAUGGGCCACUGCAACAAACGAAGAAGUAGAGGAAUACCUAGCAAAAGGGAAUUCUCUGCACAUAUCGAUUUCGUAUGCCAGAGGAGGGGAGUUUGAAAAUUUGUUAACUUAUUCGGAGUGAAGUUAGCUGGAACUGGGACACACUUUGGAGAUUUUAUAAUUAUGAGGACCGAUGUACGACCUGUGUACAACUUUUGUGUUACCGUUGAUGAUGCUGCCAUGGCCAUCUCACACGUGAUA
rnacentral:misc_RNA from 1 species